rnacentral:lncRNA from 1 species
UAUGUUGCCGCCCUUUCCAAUAACACCUCCAAUUCUAUCAUUGGAACAAAUAAUUUUGAAGGUGAUUUCUUGCUGAUGCGCUUUUGGUUCCAGGGAUGAGACUCUAUUAACUUCUGCUGACAAUGAAUGAACUCCAGUGGCAUAGCUGUUAGAGCUACUAGGUAGAAUAGAUAGUGCAGAGCGCCUUUGUAAAAGAUGAUCCACAUGCAAAUCCGUUAAUGUCUCGCAUGGCACUGCAGUUAAAGUCUCACGUGGAGCUCCAAUAAAAGUCUCGCGUGGAACUGACAUUAAAGUCUCACGAGGAACUCCAACUAAAGCUUCAUGAUGAAUCACUUCAUGAGAAUUUUGUCCCGUCAUCUUUGUUCUAUCAGCAUGAUGGCGAUCUUGAAGAUUGCGAGAGACUGCAACAAGUGCCUUUUUUACGGAUGACACACUGCCUUCUAUCUACCACAAAUCCAAAAGAUGUUUUCUCAGUGUAAAUAGAGAGAAUUUUCAAGAAGAAAUAAAUUGAAGUCCAUUUGUUUAUUCACGUGUUCUCAAAUUGGUUAGCAGGAAGAAUAAAAACGUGUUCUCAAAUCGGUCAGCGGGAAAAAGUUACCAAUCCUAACCACAAAUUAUGAUCCUGCCUUAUAUAAAGCCAAGGUAGUCAAAGAAAAAGGUGCCUAAAUUAUAACACUAGACCACCUGCUUGGCCCCCUUGAUACAUUAUAUCACUAGCAAACAAGGUCUCACCGUUGAGUUUUAGUCAAACAAUCAAGAAUCAGAACAACAUCGAUUAUAAAAAAAGUCCCAACUACAAGCUUCACCAUUGAAAAAUCUAAUCUGAGAACCAAAAAUGUAUAAGCAGAUAGGAGACCUCUCUCUUUUCCAACAAAAUAGGUCUAGAGAUUAAGAGUCCAAUAAUACUAUGAAAAGUUUCUAACCAUCAUGUAGGUAGUAGAGCGAAAAAUUCUCAGCAUCAAUGAUACUACUUAAACAAUUUAACCGAAAGAAUCUCUCCUCCGUCUCCCUUAACAACAUGACAUGACGUGCAAUAAUCUUAUAAGAUUACAAAUACUUAUUCAACAUGCCUGAGAGGUCAAACAUCACCCAAAAGAAAACACAAAUAGCAAUUAAAUAAGCAUAUUGUCUGAAAAUUCAUUGUGUACUUUGAUCACAAUGAAUUACUAGUUUAAUUAUAUUUAAAACUGCAAUUAACGUAUUAACAGGGUAGGGCUGUUAUCACAUGACUGAAAGGUCACGGGUACAAGUCCUGGAAACAGCCCCUUGCGUAAAAAAACAGGGUAAGGAUGCGUACAAUACAACAAAUGGUGCGUAUGCGAGAGCUUUAGUGCACCAGGAUGCCCUUGUUUUUUAACGUAUUAACUUUUAGUUGUUUUAGGGUAAAUUGUUUGAGCCAAAAAAGCACAAACAUAUCCCAUUGUGCGGGUACCAGAAAGAACAAAAAGCAAGUCCAUCUAAAGGAAAUGAUUGACAUAAUAACAUACAGAUGGAAAUACUUGUUUGGUCACAAAUAUUAUGGGAACACAUACACACUUGAGAAAAUGUAGUUGUAUUUUGGCGCACUCUCUAUUGGAAUGUAUGAACAUAGUGGGUUAGUUUGAGUUUAUAAUGUGGAGGUCCUGGGUCCAUGGUCCAAAAUUUAUAACCAACGGAACCAAACUCUCCAUCACAUAUGAACACUUUAGUUUUCCUUGAUCCCUCCUACACGGGACUUCUAUAAUUUCCAACGUAAAGAAAGAAUAAUCAAAUAAUGUCUAUUUUUAAAAUAAUUAAACAAAAUGUAUUUUAUAUGUGUGCCUAAAUAGUGUGUCCAAAUGUCUAUGACCAAGCAAAAACAUGUUGAUUCAAAAAUUUUAUGAUAUCAAUUUACUUGUACGGAUAUUGGAAAUGCCAAAUGUGAUACACAUUUCAUUAACUUCUAGGCUCUCUAUAAUACAUACUGGUUCAAAUUACUAACGCCACAAAUCCAUUGCAGUAUUCUACAAAAUCAGAAAACCAACCCUAAUAAACUAAGUGUAUGUUUGGUUCCCCUUCCACAGGGGUUAAAGUUGAUUCUAGAGGAGUAGAAUUGAUGUUGACAUACUUGGUUGCUUUCUAGUAGAAUUGAUUUUGCCUCCAGACCUGAUUCUACUUGAAGCUAGGAUUUGUAGUUUUUCAUUCUAAAAUUGAUUUUUACACACAAAUCACUUUAUUUCAACUCAUUUUUAAUCAUAAUCCACUUUACAUGAUCAAUUCACUCAAAAACGAUUCUUGUCACAGCAGAACCAAACAUACUACGACUAGCACUACACUGCAAUAAUGAACUGGAAUAAUGUCUUUGAAAGACCUAAAAUCUUCAUAGACAAAUCAGAAACUGAACAAUAAGAUUCAUCAUACCUCAAUCACUUCAUCAGGAGAUGAAAUGCAAGCUGGCAAAUUAUCCUUACAAACCCAAAUUUUACAUCCGGUGUCUUUUUUUAUCUUCUCCACAACCUUCCCUCCCUUCCCGAUCACCGACCCAGCCUGCGCCGAAUCUGCCACAAGCCGGCAUGACACCGUCCUAUCUCCAAGCUCAAUCCCUUCCAUCUCCGCCGCAACUUCCAAAAUCCUAUCAAACACUCUAAGCAACGCUUCCUGCGCUUUCGACACCUCAAUUGCCUCACCAUCACCGCUGUGGCUUCUCACCAUAACUUUUCCGUCGAUAUUACUGGCUCCGAUGACCAUGAUAACUCGGUCAGGUGACUCAUUGGGAGAAUCCUCGAUUCGGAUCUUAGCACCGGUGGUCAACUGGAGAUUCUUGAUUACGGUGCCGGAUUUUCCGAUGACGCCGCCGAUGCGGGAGGAAUUGCAGAGGAGACGGAAUGCGACGUGUCCGGCAGGUAUGGGGAGUGGUUGUUGAGGAGGUUUGGAAGGUUUAGCGCGCUUGGAAGAUCCGUUUGGAAAUGGAUUCGGGUCGGGUAAUCCGGUGAUGGAGCGUUUCGCUGGCGGUGAUAGAAAGUUGCUUCCCAUAAUCCUAUCUCUUCCUCUGUCUAGAAUUUCGAAAUUGUUGAAACGAAAUUAGAGUUGCAGAAACUGGGAACGAGACGAUGAAUGCAGAUGCUACAAUGCGCUGAAGGGAAUGACGCGGGUGCGUACUGCACUCGUGGACUAUUACUUACUGUG